GUGAAUCAUCGAAUCUUUGAACGCACCUUGCGCCCUUUGGUAUUCCGAAGGGCAUGCCUGUUUGAGUGUCAUUAAAUUAUCAACACCAUAUUGAUUUGUUUCAACUUGGUGAUUGGAUGCUGUAGGGUUUGCUGGCGCCUUGCGUUGGCUCCCUUUAAAUAUAUUAGCGGAACUAUGCAGGACCGGUCCUUGGUUUGAUAAUCCUAUCUAUGCCAUCGCUGAGAAGCUCUUGUUCAGCUUAUAGCUGUCUUUGGACUGUCUCUUUGGAGGCAAACUUUUAAUCUUGACCUCAAAUCAGGUAGGACUACCCGCUGAACUUAAGCAUAUCAAUAAGCGGAGG
rnacentral:rRNA from 1 species